UAAUUAAUUCAUUAAGAAAUUAUUAAAACAUAAAAUCUUGCAUAUAACAUCAAGCUAAACCUUGACUA
rnacentral:tRNA from 1 species